rnacentral:tRNA from 3 species
GGGCAAGUGGUGGAAUGGUUUACACGUAGCACUCAAAAUGCUAUGAGCGCAAGCUCAUGUGGGUUCGACUCCCACCUUGCCCACAA